rnacentral:rRNA from 1 species
AUACGGAGGGUGCGAGCGUUAAUCGGAAUUACUGGGCGUAAAGGGUGCGUAGGCGGCUUGAUAAGUCGGAUGUGAAAGCCCCGGGCUUAACCUGGGAAUUGCAUUCGAUACUGUCAGGCUAGAGUAUGUCAGAGGUUGGCGGAAUUCCUGGUGUAGCGGUGAAAUGCGUAGAUAUCAGGAGGAACACCAGUGGCGAAGGCGGCUAACUGGGGCAAUACUGACGCUGAGGCACGAAAGCGUGGGGAGCAAACAGGAUUAGAUACCCUAGUAGUCC